rnacentral:rRNA from 1 species
AUUGAACGCUGGCGGCAUGCCUUACACAUGCAAGUCGAACGGCAGCAUGAUCUAGCUUGCUAGAUUGAUGGCGAGUGGCGAACGGGUGAGUAAUACAUCGGAACGUGCCCUGUAGUGGGGGAUAACUAGUCGAAAGAUUAGCUAAUACCGCAUACGACCUGAGGGUGAAAGUGGGGGACCGCAAGGCCUCAUGCUAUAGGAGCGGCCGAUGUCUGAUUAGCUAGUUGGUGAGGUAAAGGCUCACCAAGGCGACGAUCAGUAGCUGGUCUGAGAGGACGAUCAGCCACACUGGGACUGAGACACGGCCCAGACUCCUACGGGAGGCAGCAGUGGGGAAUUUUGGACAAUGGGCGAAAGCCUGAUCCAGCAAUGCCGCGUGUGUGAAGAAGGCCUUCGGGUUGUAAAGCACUUUUGUCCGGAAAGAAAUGGCCCUGGUUAAUACCUGGGGUCGAUGACGGUACCGGAAGAAUAAGGACCGGCUAACUACGUG